rnacentral:lncRNA from 1 species
CUCGUGGAAAAGGACUUUAAUUUGGGGAGGGGUCCGACUGCCACCCUCAGCCCCCCAUCCUCCCCACACCAAAAUGUCCGAAGGUGGAGAGCGGUGGGAAGAACCCAACGUGAAGAGCAACGGGAAAAGCCAACGUGAAGGGUGAGGUGUGCCACCCAAUGUGGGGCAAUGGGGCACCCAAUGGGGGGCAAUGGGGUAACCAAUGUGGGGCAAUGGGGUAACCAACGUGGGGAAAAUGGGGCAACUAACCUGAGCAAUGGGUCAACCAAUGUAGGGCAAUGGGGCACCCAACAUGGCACAUUGAGGGAACCCUACAUGGGGCACUGGGGCACCCAACGUGGGGCAAUGGGGUAACCAACGUGGGGCAAUGGGGCACCCAAUGGGGGGCAAUGGGGUAACCAAUGUGGGGCAAUGGGGCACCCAACGUGGGCAAUGGGAGAACCAACAUGGCACAAUGGGGCACCCAACGUGGGGAAAAUGGGGCAACUAACCUGAGCAAUGGGUCAACCAAUGUAGGGCAAUGGGGCACCCAACAUGGCACAUUGAGGGAACCCUACAUGGGGCACUGGGGCACCCAACGUGGGGCAAUGGGGCACCCAAUGGGGGGCAAUGGGGUAACCAAUGUGGGGCAAUGGGGUUACCAACGUGGGGCAAUGGGGCACCCAAUGGGGGGCAAUGGGGUAACCAACAUGGGGCAAUGGGGCAACCAACCUGAGCAAUGGGAGAGCCCCAUAUGGGGCAAUGGGGCACCCAACCUGAGCAAUGGGAGAACCAACAUGGCACAAUGGGGCAACCAACCUGAGCAAUGGGACAACCCUAUAUGGGGCAACGGGGCAACCAAGAUGGCGCAAUGGGACACCCAACAUGGGGCAAUGGGGUAACCCUACAUGAGGCAAUGGGACAGCCAACAUGGGGCAAUGGGACAACCCCAUAUGGGGCAAUGGGGCACCCAAUCUGAGCAGUGGGGCAACCAAUGUGGCGCAAUGGGACACCCAACAUGGGGCAAUGGGACAACCAAUGUGGGGCAAUGGGGUAACCCUACAUGAGGCAAUGGGACAGCCAACGUGGGGCAAUGGGGUAACCAACCUGAGCAAUGGGACAACCUUAUAUGGGGCAAUGGGGCAAUCAAGAUGGCGCAAUGGGACACCCAACAUGGGGCAAUGGGGCAACCAGCAUGGGGCAAUGGGGCAAUCAACGUGGGGCAAUGGUGUAACCAAGGUGGGGCAAUGGGGUAACCAACAUGGGGCAAUGGGGCACCCAACCUGAGCAAUGGGAGAGCCCCAUAUGGGGCAAUGGGGCACCCAACGUGGGGAAAUGGGAGAACCAACAUGGCACAAUGGGGCACCCAAUGUGGGACAAUGGGAGAAACCUACAUGGGGCAAAUGGGGCACGCAACCUGAGCAAUGAUGCAAACAAUGUGGGGCAAUGAGAGAACCCUACAUGGGGCACUGGGGCACCCAAUGUGGGGCAAUGAGGUAACCAACCUGAGCAACGGGACAACCCUAUAUGGGGCAACGGGGCAACCAACAUGGCACAAUGGGACACCCAACAUGGGGCAAUGGGACAACCAACGUGGGGCAAUGGGGUAACCCUACAUGAGGCAAUGGGACAGCCAACGUGGGGCAAUGGCAAAACCCCAUAUGGGGCAAUGGGGCACCCAACCUGAGCAAUGAGGUACCCAACAUGGCACAAUGAGAGAACCUUACAUGGGGCAAUGGGGUAACCAACGUGGGGCAGUGGGGUAACCAAUGUGGGGCAGGGGGAGAACCCAACAGAAAGAGCAAUGGGGCACCCAACAUGGGGUAGUGGGAGAACCAACGUGAGGCAAUGGAGCAACCAACCUGAGCAAUGGGGCAACCCUACAUGGGGCAAUGGGGCACCCAACAUGGCGCAAUGGGGUACCCAACCUGAGUAAUGGGGCAACCAACAUGGCGCAAUGGGGCAACCCUACCUGGGGCGAUGGGACAACCAACCUGAGCAAUGGGACACGCAACGUGGGGCAAUGGGAUGACCCCAUACGGGGUAAUGGGACAACCAACAUGGGGCAAUGGGACAACGAACAUGGGGCAAUGGAUGACCCCACAUGGGGCAAUGGGACAACCAACAUGGGGAGAUGGGACGACCAACAUGGGGCGAUGGGAUGACCCCACAUGGGGCGAUGGGACGACCAACAUGGGGCGAUGGGAUGACCCCACAUGGGGCAAUGGGACAACCAACAUGGGGCGAUGGGAUGACCCCACAUGGGGCAAUGGGACAACCAACAUGGGGCGAUGGGAUGACCCCACAUGGGGCGAUGGGACGACCAACAUGGGGCAAUGGGAUGACCCCACAUGGGGCGAUGGGACGACCAACAUGGGGCAAUGGGAUGACCCCACAUGUGGCAAUGGGACAACCAACAUGGGGCGAUGGGACGACCAACAUGGCGCAAUGGAAGAACCCAACAUGGGGCAAUGGGAUGACCCCAUAUGGGGUAAUGGGACAACCAAUAUGGCGCAAUGGGACGACCAGCAUGGGGCGAUGGGAUGACCCCACAUGGGGCGACGGGACAACCAACAUGGGGCAAUGGAAGAACCCUACAUGGGGCAAUGGAAGAACCCUACAUGGGGUGAUGGGACACCCAACCUGAGCAGUGGGGCAAUCCUACACGGGGCAAUGGGACGACCCUACAUGGGGAAUGGGACAACCAACAUGGGGCAAUGGGGCAACCAAUGUGGGGCAAUGGGAAAACCCCAUAUGGGGCAAUGGGGCACUCAGUGUGGGGCAAUGGGAGGACCCAACAUGGGGCAAUGGGGCAACCAACGUGGCGCAAUGGGACAACCCUACAUGGGGCGAUGGGACAACCAACCUGAGCAAUGGGACACGCAACGUGGGCAAUGGGAUGACCUCAUACGGGGUAAUGGGACAACCAACAUGGGGCAAUGGGACAACGAACAUGGGGCAAUGGGAUGACCCCACAUGGGGCAAUGGGACAACCAACAUGGGGCAAUGGGAUGACCCCACAUGGGGCAAUGGGACAACCAACAUGGGGUGAUGGGACAACUAACGUGGCACAAUGGAAGAACCCAACAUGGGGCAAUGGGAUGACCCCUUAUGGGGUAAUGGGACAACCAAUAUGGCGCAGUGGGACGACAUGGGGCGAUGGGAUGACCCCACAUGGGGCGAUGGGACAACCAACAUGGGGCGAUGGGACAACCAACAUGGGGCGAUGGGAUGACCCCACAUGGGGCGAUGGGACAACCAACAUGGGGCGAUGGGACAACCAACAUGGGGCAAUGGAAGAACCCUACAUGGGGUGAUGGGACACCCAACCUGAGCAGUGGGGCAAUCCUACAUGGGGCAAUGGGACGACCCUACAUGGGGCAAUGGGGCAACCAACAUGGGGCAAUGGGGCAACCAAUGUGGGGCAAUGGGAAAACCCCAUAUGGGGCAAUGGGGCACUCAAUGUGGGGCAAUGGGAAAACCCCAUAUGGGGCAAUGGGGCACUCAAUGUGGGGCAAUGGGAGGACCCAACAUGGGGCAAUGGGGCAACCAAUGUGGGGCAAUGGGGCACCCAACGUGAGCAAUGGGGCAACCAACGUGGCGCAAUGGGACAACCCUACAUGGGGCGAUGGGAGAACCAACAUGGGGCAAUGGGAUGACCCAACACAAAGAGGAAUGGGGAAACCCAAUGAGAGGAGGAAUGGGAUAACCUAAAACAAAGAGCAAUGGGGAACCCCAAUGAGAAGAGCCAUGGGAUAACCUAAAACAAAGAGGAAUGGGAAACCCC